rnacentral:rRNA from 1 species
CUGACGACCGGCGAACGGGUGCGUAACGCGUAUGCAACCUACCCUUAACUGGAAGAUAGCCCGGUGAAAACCGGAUUAAUAUUCCAUAGUAUUACGAAAUGGCAUCAUUUUGUAAUUAAAGCUCCGGCGGUUAAGGAUGGGCAUGCGUCCCAUUAGUUAGUUAGUGAGGUAAUGGCUCACCAAGGCAGCGAUGGGUAGGGGUUCUGAGAGGAUUAUCCCCCACACUGGUACUGAGACACGGACCAG